UGUGUCUCCGCAGCAGCACACAUGUGUACAUGCUUCUACAUCCAUGGAUAAUUGUCACAUCAUGUCAGCAGCACGUUCCACAGACCUCGCCCAAAGCCGUUUGUAUAUCGUGUGAAUGUGCCGGCUGACACGGAGCGGAGGGAGACAGAAAGGGAACCUCAGCCCCGGAAAGGGGCGGGUUUCCCGCCGGAUUCAAGGACCCGUUGGGGCCAAGGACAGUGAACCAACAGCAGGAGAAAACGGCGUCGGGCAGGGCUGGCCGGGAGGGGACCCGCCGUGGACGCAGACAGGAUGGACAGCUUUCUUUCAGAAUUCCCUACACAAUCCUCAGUGAACAGAUGCGGAGGGAAAGGAGCAGAACCAGAACACUGUACAGAGACGGAUAUGCUGUGGCACGAUCCGGUGUCAGGGUCUCUGCUCCCAGGAGCAGUGCACCAAGCCAGGACACUCCUGAGGGACUUCUGGGAAAGAUGCUCUCCACGUCGAGAGAAAGACCUGUGGGAGCAGAAACGCAGAAGGACGUCUGCCAUCCCUUAUCACCUGUCUGUAGGGGGAUGUGAUUCGGCCUUUAGGCUUUCAAAGAUCGCUCUAUAGCAAAAAUAAAUAAUAGGGAAAUAGG